rnacentral:pre_miRNA from 1 species
AGGAGCAACAGCCCUAGUGGCGGGGCCAGCUCUGGAAACCUGGAUUCAUCCCCCGCAGUGACUCCGGAGCUCUCCGUCUGCAGGGCCUGGAGGUUCCGGGCGGGG